rnacentral:lncRNA from 10 species
UUUACAGAACUGUGCCUGGCAUAUGUUGGACACUCAAUGAUUGCUGGCUGAACAAAUAAGGAGAUAACCACGUGGAAGAUUUGAGUCAAAUCCUGAUUGAGGGAGGUUAGAACCUGAACCUACACAAUGCUGAAAUAAUCAUCUUUGGAGGGGAAAUGUCUGUCAUCUUAAUUUUGGGGAUUGUGUGACAGUCAUAUAAUGUUUUCAGAGGUUUGAGAUUUCCGGCAAGAAAGUUGCAAAAAUGAUGCUGUGAGCAUUUCAAUUUCUUCUAUCUUGAGGCCCACGGUGCCCUAUUGUUUCAUGACUGGUACACAUUGUCAUGGGCUGAGUCAUGUCCCCUAAAAUUCAGAUGUUGAAGCCCUAACCUCUAGUUUCUCAGAAUGUGGUAGGAUUUGGGGACAAGUUCUUUAAAAAGGUGAUUAAGUUAAAACGAAGUCAUUAGGGCGAGCCCUAAUCCAACAUGAUUGGUGUUUUCAUAUGAAGAGGAAAUCUGCUGGGUGCGGUGGCUCGUGCCUGUAACCCCUGCACUUUGGGAGGCCGAGGUAGGUGGAUCAUUUGAGGUCAGGAGUUUGAGACCAGCCUGACCAACAUGGUGAAACCCCUGUCUCUACUAAAAAUACAAAAAUUACCUGGGUGUGGGGGCACACCUCUAUAGUUUCAGCUACUUGGGAGGCCAAGGCAUGAGAAUUGCUUGAACCUGGGAGGCAGAGAAGGCAGUGAGCUGAGAUUGCACCACUGCGCUCCAGCAUGGAUGACAGAGUGAAACUGUCUCAAAAAAAAAAAAAAAAAAAGAUAAAAUUUGGACAGACAUGUACAAAUGGAGGAUGCUAUGAAGACUCAGGGAGAGAGUGGCUGUCUGCAAGCCAAGAAGAGAGGCCUGGAAGAACAGUCCCUUCCCUCAUGGCCCCCAGAAGGAAACAGCCCUCCUGAUGCCUCGAUCUUGAACUUCCAGCCUCCACAGGUAUGGGAAAAUAUAUUUCUGUGAUUUAAGCCACCCAGUCUGUGGUACUAUGG